UUAAGCGACUAAGCGUACACGGUGGAUGCCCUGGCAGUCAGAGGCGAUGAAGGACGUGCUAAUCUGCGAAAAGCGUCGGUAAGGUGAUAUGAACCGUUAUAACCGGCGAUGUCCGAAUGGGGAAACCCAGUGCAAUUCGUUGCACUAUCGUUAACUGAAUACAUAGGUUAACGAGGCGAACCGGGGGAACUGAAACAUCUAAGUACCCCGAGGAAAAGAAAUCAACCGAGAUUCCCCCAGUAGCGGCGAGCGAACGGGGAGCAGCCCAGAGUCUGAAUCAGCUUGUGUGUUAGUGGAACGGUCUGGAAAGUCCGACGGUACAGGGUGAUAGUCCCGUACACCAAAAUGCACAGGCUGUGAACUCGAAGAGUAGGGCGGGACACGUGGUAUCCUGUCUGAAUAUGGGGGGACCAUCCUCCAAGGCUAAAUACUCCUGACUGACCGAUAGUGAACCAGUACCGUGAGGGAAAGGCGAAAAGAACCCCGGCGAGGGGAGUGAAAAAGAACCUGAAACCGUGUACGUACAAGCAGUGGGAGCACCUUCGGGUGUGACUGCGUACCUUUUGUAUAAUGGGUCAGCGACUUAUAUUCUGUAGCAAGGUUAACCGUAUAGGGGAGCCGCAGGGAAACCGAGUCUUAACUGGGCGUUAAGUUGCAGGGUAUAGACCCGAAACCCGGUGAUCUAGCCAUGGGCAGGUUGAAGGUUGGGUAACACUAACUGGAGGACCGAACCGACUAAUGUUGAAAAAUUAGCGGAUGACUUGUGGCUGGGGGUGAAAGGCCAAUCAAACCGGGAGAUAGCUGGUUCUCCCCGAAAGCUAUUUAGGUAGCGCCUCGUGAAUUCAUCUUCGGGGGUAGAGCACUGUUUCGGCUAGGGGGUCAUCCCGACUUACCAACCCGAUGCAAACUACGAAUACCAAAGAAUGUUAUCACGGGAGACACACGGCGGGUGCUAACGUCCGUCGUGAAGAGGGAAACAACCCAGACCGCCAGCUAAGGUCCCAAAGUCAUGGUUAAGUGGGAAACGAUGUGGGAAGGCACAGACAGCCAGGAUGUUGGCUUAGAAGCAGCCAUCAUUUAAAGAAAGCGUAAUAGCUCACUGGUCGAGUCGGCCUGCGCGGAAGAUGUAACGGGGCUAAACCAUGCACCGAAGCUGCGGCAGCGACACUAUGUGUUGUUGGGUAGGGGAGCGUUCUGUAAGCCUGCGAAGGUGUGCUGUGAGGCAUGCUGGAGGUAUCAGAAGUGCGAAUGCUGACAUAAGUAACGAUAAAGCGGGUGAAAAGCCCGCUCGCCGGAAGACCAAGGGUUCCUGUCCAACGUUAAUCGGGGCAGGGUGAGUCGACCCCUAAGGCGAGGCCGAAAGGCGUAGUCGAUGGGAAACAGGUUAAUAUUCCUGUACUUGGUGUUACUGCGAAGGGGGGACGGAGAAGGCUAUGUUAGCCGGGCGACGGUUGUCCCGGUUUAAGCAUGUAGGCUGGUUAUCCAGGCAAAUCCGGAUAAUCAAGGCUGAGGUGUGAUGACGAGGCACUACGGUGCUGAAGUAACAAAUGCCCUGCUUCCAGGAAAAGCCUCUAAGCAUCAGGUAACAUUAAAUCGUACCCCAAACCGACACAGGUGGUCAGGUAGAGAAUACCAAGGCGCUUGAGAGAACUCGGGUGAAGGAACUAGGCAAAAUGGUGCCGUAACUUCGGGAGAAGGCACGCUGGUGUGUAGGUGAAGCCCCUGCGGGUGGAGCUGAGACCAGUCGAAGAUACCAGCUGGCUGCAACUGUUUAUUAAAAACACAGCACUGUGCAAACACGAAAGUGGACGUAUACGGUGUGACGCCUGCCCGGUGCCGGAAGGUUAAUUGAUGGGGUUAUCCGUAAGGAGAAGCUCUUGAUCGAAGCCCCGGUAAACGGCGGCCGUAACUAUAACGGUCCUAAGGUAGCGAAAUUCCUUGUCGGGUAAGUUCCGACCUGCACGAAUGGCGUAAUGAUGGCCAGGCUGUCUCCACCCGAGACUCAGUGAAAUUGAACUCGCUGUGAAGAUGCAGUGUACCCGCGGCAAGACGGAAAGACCCCGUGAACCUUUACUAUAGCUUGACACUGAACAUUGAGCCUUGAUGUGUAGGAUAGGUGGGAGGCUUUGAAGCGUGGACGCCAGUCUGCGUGGAGCCAACCUUGAAAUACCACCCUUUAAUGUUUGAUGUUCUAACGUUGGCCCCUUACCGGGGUUGCGGACAGUGUCUGGUGGGUAGUUUGACUGGGGCGGUCUCCUCCCAAAGCGUAACGGAGGAGCACGAAGGUUAGCUAAUCCUGGUCGGACAUCAGGAGGUUAGUGCAAUGGCAUAAGCUAGCUUGACUGCGAGCGUGACGGCGCGAGCAGGUGCGAAAGCAGGUCAUAGUGAUCCGGUGGUUCUGAAUGGAAGGGCCAUCGCUCAACGGAUAAAAGGUACUCCGGGGAUAACAGGCUGAUACCGCCCAAGAGUUCAUAUCGACGGCGGUGUUUGGCACCUCGAUGUCGGCUCAUCACAUCCUGGGGCUGAAGUAGGUCCCAAGGGUAUGGCUGUUCGCCAUUUAAAGUGGUACGCGAGCUGGGUUUAGAACGUCGUGAGACAGUUCGGUCCCUAUCUGCCGUGGGCGCUGGAGAAUUGAGGGGGGCUGCUCCUAGUACGAGAGGACCGGAGUGGACGCAUCACUGGUGUUCGGGUUGUCAUGCCAAUGGCACUGCCCGGUAGCUAAAUGCGGAAGAGAUAAGUGCUGAAAGCAUCUAAGCACGAAACUUGCCCCGAGAUGAGUUCUCCCUGAGACUUUAAGUCUCCUGAAGGAACGUUGAAGACGACGACGUUGAUAGGCCGGGUGUGUAAGCGCAGCGAUGCGUUGAGCUAACCGGUACUAAUGAACCGUGAGGCUUAACCUU
rnacentral:rRNA from 1 species